CAGAGGCUAGAUGUGGCUGUUUCCCUGGCAAAGAUUGCUGAUGCAGAUAGGAGCCUUGGCAACGAAGAUGCCGCACUUGAUAGAUUUCAAGAAGCCAUAAAAUUGUUGGAAUCUUUGACAUUAAAACCUGAAGAAGCUGCUCUUGAGCAAAGGCGCUCUUCAGUGCUGGAAUUUCUUAAAAAUCAGCUUUCAGAGAAACAAUCUGAUUAAACUCGUUGUAGUCAGCUUCCCUCUAGCAGUUCUAUCAGAGAAUGAAAUCAAGCUAAAUAAAAUGGCCCUUUUCCUGUAUAUAUACAAAAUCAACUUCAUAUCAAAUAAGCUUAAUUUUAGCUAUGGUGGUUUGAUUCCCAGAAGAUUAAAAACUUUCAGAGAAUGUUCGCCAGUCCUGGCGUAAAAGUGGAGUGCUCUUGCCAUGUAUCAUUUAUAGAUAGGCCUACUACUGGCCUAGCAUUACUCAAGUAGUGUCUGUAUGAGAUUUCACUCCACUUUUUUCAAUUAUGAGUUGCUUAAACACUUGAAAUUCUAUGUUUCGUGGAUCUUGUAAAGCACCUUAGAAUUAUCCCUCAAUGAGUAAGGACAGCUUACUGCAUUUGUUAUGCUAUCUUAUUGGAAACAAGAAAGUACACACGAGUCAUUACUGAACUCAAUAAUGUGCUUGGCUUUGUGGUGUGAAAAAUGCUAUUAAUCAUCACAGACGAUGGAUAUGGUGCAGAUUUUCUCUAUUCAUUUAUCUUUUUCUGGGUUGUCUUCACCUUAUUUUCUUGGUUUCCCUUAUUUAUUUAUUUAUUAAAUUCCAGAAUCUUAGCCUAGAAUUUUGUUUAUAGCACAAAAUUUUAUUUUGGCCAACGGAUUUAUAAUUUUUCUCUGUGUAUUAACAUCUGCAUCAAUUACGCACCUUUGAUUGGUCUUGGCAUUAGGA
rnacentral:misc_RNA from 1 species